GACGAACGCUGGCGGCGUGCCUAAUACAUGCAAGUAGAACGCACAGUUUAUACCGUAGCUUGCUACACCAUAGACUGUGAGUUGCGAACGGGUGAGUAACGCGUAGGUAACCUGCCUGGUAGCGGGGGAUAACUAUUGGAAACGAUAGCUAAUACCGCAUAAUAUUAAUUAUUGCAUGAUAAUUAAUUGAAAGGUGCAAUUGCACCACUACCAGAUGGACCUGCGUUGUAUUAGCUAGUAGGUGAGGUAACGGCUCACCUAGGCGACGAUACAUAGCCGACCUGAGAGGGUGAUCGGCCACACUGGGACUGAGACACGGCCCAGACUCCUACGGGAGGCAGCAGUAGGGAAUCUUCGGCAAUGGACGAAAGUCUGACCGAGCAACGCCGCGUGAGUGAAGAAGGGUUUCGGAUCGUAAAGCUCGGUUGUAAGAGAAGAACGGGUGUGAGAGUGGAAAGUUCACACUGUGACGGUAUCUUACCAGAAAGAGACGGCUAACUACGUG
rnacentral:rRNA from 1 species